CUUAUUCUUGGUGGUCACCUACCUCGGGAAACUGAGGCUAAUACCCCAUAGAUAUUCAAUGCUGGAAGGCUAGGAUAUUGAAAGCGCAAGCGCCAGAGGGUGAGUCUGCGGCCUAUCAGGUAGUAGGUGGUGUAACGGACCACCUAGCCUAAGACGGGUACGGGCCUUGAGAGAGGGAGCCCGGAGAUGGGUUCUGAGACACGAACCCAGGCCCUACGGGGCGCAGCAGGCGCGAAACCUUCGCACUGCGCGAAAGCGCGACGAGGGGAACCCGAGUGCCUCUCCAUUUCGGGGAGGCUUUUCACAAGCCUAAAAAGCUUGUGGAAUAAGGGCUGGGCAAGACGGGUGCCAGCCGCCGCGGUAAUACCCGCAGCUCGAGUGGUGGUCGCUUUUAUUGAGCCUAAAACGUUCGUAGUCGGCCUUGUAAAUCCCUGGGUAAAUUGGGCCGCUUAACGGUUCAAAUUCCGGGGAGACUGCAAGGCUAGGGACCGGGCGAGGUCAGAGGUACUUUCGGGGUAGGAGUGAAAUCCUGUAAUCCCGAAGGGACCACCUGUGGCGAAAGCGUCUGACUUGAACGGCUCCGACGAUGAGGAACGAAGGCUAGGGGAGCAAACCGGAUUAGAUACCCGGGUAGUCCUAGCUGUAAACUCUGCCCGCUUGGUGUGGCCUGUCCUUCGGGGGCAGGCCGUGCCGGAGCGAAGGUGUUAAGCGGGCUGCUUGGGGAGUACGGCCGCAAGGUUGAAACUUAAAGGAAUUGGCGGGGGAGCACCGCAACGGGAGGAUGCGUGCGGUUUAAUUGGAUUCAACGCCGGAAAACUCACCUGAGGAGACCAGCGUAUGUGGGUCAAGCCGAAGACUUUACCCGAACAACAGCUGGAGAGGUGGUACAUGGCCAUCGUCAGCCCGUACCGUAGGGCAUUCACUUAAGUGUGAUAACGAGCGAGACCCCCAUCCCUAGUUGCUAACCCCUCCGAAAGGAGGGGUGCACUCUAGGGAGACCGCUUCCGCUAAGGAAGAGGAAGGAGGGGUCGACGGUAGGUCAGUAUGCCCCGAAUCCUCAGGGCAACACGCGCGCUACAAAGGACAGGACAAUGGGUUCCAACCCCGAAAGGGGAAGGUAAUCCCGAAACCUGUUCGUAGU
rnacentral:rRNA from 1 species